AUGCCCUGGGUGGUGCUGGGCGAUUUCAAUAUGUAUAGAUAUGCACAUGAGAAAUCCCGGGGUCAGAUCAACUGGAGUAUGAUGGAAAAUUUUAACUCAUGGAUUCGAGACCAUGGUAUGGAUGAUGUUCAGAUUGACAAUAGACUUUUUACUUGGUCUAACAAGAGAGACCAGCCUACUCUUGUCCAUCUGGAUCGGGUACUUGUCAAUGCAGCCUGGAACCUCAGCUUUCUGCAAUCAACUGCCUCUUGCAUACCUACAACGACGUCUGAUCAUGCACCUGUGCUUAUGUCCUUCUCCACGAACACGACCAAAAGCAAGUUGUUUCGCAUGGAAAAUCACUGGCUGGAGUUAGAAGAACCUAGAAACAUCAUCUCUGAAGCUUGGACUUGA
rnacentral:rRNA from 1 species